rnacentral:lncRNA from 1 species
CUUGAUUUUUAUCUAAAAUGACCUCUGCCCUUGAGCCCCAGUUAAAUAUGUCUAUUAUCUGAGUCACUGCUGGGUUAAAACUUACUUUCAAGUAAAAUCAGUGAUGAGAGUCACUCCUGCAUAGUUUGGUUUCUCCAAAAAAGCAACCCCGAGACAAGGGUUUGGAUGUAAGUAAAUUACUGGGAGGGUGAUUCCAGGAAGCACAGUGUGAGUGACUUAGGGACUGAAACAGGGAAGGCAGGUAAAGCAUUAAAAAUAGAUUAGUGAGUAGGUGACCACUGUGGGCAACUUAGCUUAAAUCUGCAGGGGACGUUCUGUUCGGACUAUUCUGAGGACUGAUCUAGGUAGUUUCCCAAAGGGCAUGCCACCCACUCCUUCCCCCACUGGGGCACUCACUCCAGGACUUUUGGCCAGCUCUGAACGCAGGUGAGAAUGGACCUGUGGCAGGGGAACACAGAGACACAGGAAGCUAUUGGCUUGUGAAAUUGUCUGUAGGUUUCCUCUGCAUGGCCUCAGCAAAAAGCAAGAGGAGCUCAUGUCUGCUCAGUUGCUCUCAAACAUCUGGAUUCACUUGUGCCCCAUUCAAGUUCACUUGUGUUGUGUUGACUGGUCACCAUCUAGAACAAUUAACCUUCAAAAAGAGACUUCAAAUAAGGUGAUUAGUGUGACAAGCCACAGUCCCCACAGCUGCAGUGAGUCCCGAGACUAAUAGAUAUUUCUCUCUCUCUCUCCAUCCUAGAUCCCCUUCAUCCUCUGCAAGUACCUCUGCUGAUGGAGAUGCUUACUCAUAGGGAUAUCCAGAUGUUACAUGUCCAUAAAGGGUCUGAGCACCUGGUUACCUUGCCCUAGAAAGGCACCUGUCCAACUCCUCUUCUCCUCCCCAAGAUGUACAGAUUUGAGCUGAAAGUAAGGAAUUUGUGCUCAAGAGUGAUGACUGCUCAAGGAAUGCUCCUCAAAAUCUUAAGCAAUUCUGAGUCACCAACUCAUAAGAAAACAGAACUGUGCCAAGAUUACAACCAGGUGAAUUGCAUUUCUCUAUGUCUCCAACAACUGGAGGUAUAGUGGAUAGUGUCCUGUGUCAUCCAAGAAGAGACCACAGAGCCUGCAGAACUGAUACAGAGGAGAAGGCCAUGUGAAGACAGAGGCGGACUGGAGUGAUGCUGCCACAAGCCAAGGAACACCUGGAGUCACUAGUAGCUGGAAGAGGCAAGGAUUCUUUCCUAUAGCCUUCAGAGGGACUAUGACCCUGCUGACACCUUGGUUUUGGACUUCUAGCCUCCAUAAUUAUGAAAGAAUAAAUUUAUGUUGUUUUAAACCA